UUAUAAAAACCAGGUCUGAGAAAGUCUGUUAAUAGAAGUCUAAAUUUCUAGCUGUAUCUGGAUUGUGUGUAGACAAUACUCUACACACCUAGAUAUCAAAGGGCUUCCUUCUCACUGCAGUUCUGUGAAAUCACAUGCAUAUUGCCUUGUCCACCCAAUGUUUUGGUGAAGAACAGAGGCUUAUUGAUAAACCAGUGCUUGAGUACCAGAAUUAUUUUACUUCCCAUGUAAGAAUUGCCCUCCUCUGAGGUUCCACUCAGAUUUUUGGACCUGCCAUCUAGUGGCCACUGCAGUAACAAGGCAAUGGUAACAUUUUUGUCUUCAUUUGAAAACUGGAGUUUGAAUGUGGCUCAUCUGUGGAUAAAUAUGGAGACACUCCGCCCAUGACCACAGUCCCCUCCUCCGUUAGACAUACAGCCGUUUUCAUAGAGCAGCUUCAAUCAGAACAUUUGUUAUAAUCACAGGAAAAGCAGAUUUUUCAUACAGAAUGAUACACACUAC
rnacentral:lncRNA from 1 species